CAAAUACUGCAGUCAGUGUGCACAAUUUCAAUGGGACACUUCAGUUCAAGAACUAUAAUGCCGCUGUUAAUUUAAUUAUAGGAAACAGCAGACUUAAAACUUGGGAGAAGGUUUAGGUGUUUGACUUUUUUUCCUUCAUAUUUUAUCAUAUUUUAUCUCUUUGUAUUUCUGUUGCCCUUGUUUGCUGCAUCAUCUUUUUACAAAUUCCUAGUACACAUUAGUGUACCUGGCCAAUAAAGUAAGUUCUGAUUCUAAUUAAGAUGGAUGGUACAAUUUAUAUUCAAAGCAAAAGUGAAAAACAA